rnacentral:rRNA from 1 species
GAUGAACGCAGGCGGCGUGCCUAAUACAUGCAAGUCGAGCGAAUGGAUUAAGAGCUUGCUCUUAUGAAGUUAGCGGCGGACGGGUGAGUAACACGUGGGUAACCUGCCCAUAAGACUGGGAUAACUCCGGGAAACCGGGGCUAAUACCGGAUAACAUUUUGAACCGCAUGGUUCGAAAUUGAAAGGCGGCUUCGUCUGUCACUUAUGGAUGGACCCGCGUCGCAUUAGCUAGUUGGUGAGGUAACGGCUCACCAAGGCAACGAUACGUAGCAGACCUGAGAAGGUGGUCGGCCACACUGGGACUGAGACACGGCCCAGACGCCUACGGGAGGCAGCAGUAGGGGAUCGUCCGAAAUUGACGAAAGUCUGACGGAGCAACGCUGCGUGAGUGAUGAAGGCUUUCGGGUCGUAAAACUCUGUUGUUAGGGAAGAACAAGUGCUAGUUGAAUAAGCUGGCACCUUGACGGUACCUAACCAGAAAGCCACGGCUAACUACGUGCCAGCCGCCGCGGUAA